rnacentral:rRNA from 1 species
GGAGGCAGGUGUCGCUGAGAAGGGAGGGGAGGGGAGCCGCCGAUGCGCAGGGAGGGGUUGGAGGGAUAGGGGGUGCUCGUGUGGUGUCCCCGACAUGGUCUGGUUUGGAAGGCGCGACAGAAAAGAGGGUCUGAUCGGCUGUGCCACCGCCGCCGCCGCCCUCCUCCUUCCGUUCCUAGAGCUGGAAACGAACUCGUGGUCUCAAGCCACCGGUUACGGGUCAAGUAUAUCUCUAAUGUCGUGUCGUUGGCUAGGACACCUUGUACCUUGAAGUUCAGGCUAUCAUUUUAUCGAACGAGAACAAAGCACUUCCUCCAAUUCUGACGAAGAUGACAGACUUCUGAGGACGACUUGUUUUACCAGGGAUUACCAUUACCUUUGGAGUUUCGACUAUAAGUUGUUCAUCUCAGUUUCUGUAGCCUUUUACUUGGGCCUCGGUGUCUACAGUUGUUAGAAAGGUGAGUUUUACAAAGUUUUGUUCCUUUAGUCGCCUCACCCACAGACUUGAAACACUUAGCGAAAAGAUCACCACGGGUGAAAUUCUUCAACCCGGGAAGAGGAAGUCAGUUCAAAGCUGUCGAACGUGAAGUCGCACUACUAAAAAGCGCAAGUUAGGUAAGACUGUUGGUACUCUUAGUGCUUGUAAAAGCUAAUUAGUCCUUUUAAUUGACCCCGGUAGACACCCGUUACCCGUUCCUAACCUAUUCUGUCGGAGAAUUGUACCGGGAAAAACAGACCUAACGACAACAAAGACAUAGACCACGUUAUGAGAAGUACCAAUACUGACCUUACGACUUAGUACGAAACGGUUCGUUUAGUCUUUCUCUGCGGACCAAACUUCACUUGUUGGUUUAAAACUUGCGUAAUAAGUGUGACUACACGGAAAUGGUUGUGGGCUACGCCUAGAUAUUGAAACACGAAAACACAGCUACCCUGGUUUUCCUGUAAAAUUCCGAAUCUUUUCUUAUGACGUUUUUACCCUGUAUAUUCGGAUUACUCACCUACGUGUACUACCACCAACAUCAGAAAGAAUUAGACUUGACGAAACGGGUCAUACGGAACACACCAGAGUUGUAUCCUAUGGCGUCUAGACUUUCCGGAGGAGAACCACAGCGGCACUGAUAAAGAAAACGUAAACCCCGGCGCAAUAAGCGGUCACACAUAUUGUAACAGUCAGGAGAACCUUUCCUAAUACUACGUCUCGACUCUCUUCCACUAGGUCUUCGUGUUCGACCCCAGUGGAGUUGACUUCCGCGUUCCCGUCGUUGAAGUCCCUCCAGUGAACUCUCUUCUAUGAGAAAGGAAGUUUCGCUUCUCGCGGCAAAGCACCUCUCGUCCGGACUCACCCAGCCGCCUGAUAGCCUAAAGACCCUGUCGUAUUGGUAACGUAUGGACAGUUAAAAGACGUCGACGACACAAAAGCCCACCUUGCACGUCUCCGAACCCAAGCCGUUGUACAUACAGGUGUAACGUUGUAAGGACGAGAAAACGGACCGAGGCAAGAAGUAGAAGUUGGACCGUCGUCAGUUAUAGUUGUUGCUUUGGGACGCUCUUCGCGACCCCGAGUGCCCGUAGCGCGAAACGAAGAAGCCAGACGACAUGCCACCGAAGACCUCUUAUGUCUACUCCUUCUCUAAGUUGGAGGGACCCUUGGGGAAGACGACGGCAUUGGGGCUACACUGCCUAACGAAGGUCACCGACACGACGACGAGGACGAGAGAGCGAGUCCUCCACUCCUGGCGACUAAUGAUACUGUAACGUCUCCUCUCCAGCGUGUCUCCCGUUCAUUUACCCCUCUCAGUCGCACACUACAGGGGUAACCGAGCACUUCUGCCAGAAGGCGAAAAGUUCAGUUGAGGUCGGAGCGGCAUGUCCUCAUCGUGUCCGUGCCGACCAGUCAGCUAAAAGUAGUACCUCUCGGGUAGUCGAGGUGCCUCCAGCAGGCCACGUUGGGGAGGGCCACGAAGCGGCUAGUUGCCGCCGCUGUCCCACUACUUCCGCGGACGAGGUAGACAGAAUGUGUCUCUUCCACUACUACUUAGCAUCGUACACCGCCGGGUCAAACGAAUAGUACUCCAGUGCUCAGAACGAGUCAGGUACUCUUACACUCUACCUGUACAUAUAAACGACAUUUCUUUUUAAAUGGUGCGGAGAGAAGUAGACACCGACUCCAAAAGCAAAAAACCCACGACUAGCGAGAAGGCACUCUCUACGUCUCUCAUUAGUCAACACGAGGCAACACAUUAAGACAUCUAAAGACGUCACGUUUGAGAGAAGACUCCACCUUACAGCACUAACCAGAGACAUACAAAUCAUGUCAUCAUUCAUAAACCGACCUCUGCAGUACCGAUUGUUGACUUGCACUGCGACGAUAGCCAUUGGAACC